rnacentral:rRNA from 1 species
UACGAAGGGGGCUAGCGUUGCUCGGAAUUACUGGGCGUAAAGCGUGCGCAGGUGGUCAUGCAAGACAGAUGUGAAAUCCCCGGGCUUAACCUGGGAACUGCAUUUGUGACUGCACGGCUAGAGUGCGGCAGAGGGGGGAUGGAAUUCCGCGUGUAGCAGUGAAAUGCGUAGAUAUGCGGAGGAACACCGAUGGCGAAGGCAAUCCCCUGGGCCUGCACUGACGCUCAUGCACGAAAGCGUGGGGAGCAAACAGG